UACAGAGGGGGCAAGCGUUGUUCGGAAUUACUGGGCGUAAAGGGCGCGUAGGCGGCCUGCUAAGUCGAACGUGAAAUCCCUGGGCUCAACCCAGGAACUGCGUCCGAUACUGGUUGGCUUGAAUCCGGGAGAGGGAUGUGGAAUUCCAGGUGUAGCGGUGAAAUGCGUAGAUAUCUGGAGGAACACCGGUGGCGAAGGCGACAUCCUGGACCGGUAUUGACGCUGAGGCGCGAAAGCCAGGGGAGCAAACGGGG
rnacentral:rRNA from 1 species